ensembl:lncRNA
GCCACUGUAGUGGUGGGGACAAAGGCUCUUCGCCUAAGGAAACAAUGGCCCCUCCUGAAACAAGUCCCUAAAAAGCUGGGGCACCUGGGGCGUCGCACAGGGAAGCGCAGGACUGUUGGCAUGGAUUUAGCUUCUAACUGCCAUCUCCAGUAAGUCAGAGAAACAGGAAAGCCCCCGAUCUGCUGCUCUAGUGACUGGUGUGUUUCUCUUGUUAAUGUGGUCACUCCAGAAGACACUGAUGUCUGCUUGGAUUGUCCUCUGUCCACACUGCCUCCCAAGUGUCAAGCAAUGGAAAAAGAACAAGCGGUAUCCUCAACGUUUAGAAGAGCUUCGAUCUCUCUGGUCCAACAAGACAAACUCCCUUCGUGAGGUCUCUAUGACUUGGUACCCAGCUUCUAAGGCUGUCUGUCAUCUCAGAUGCUCCAGUCAGGCUCGUUAGAAGCAGAUAUCUCCAAAUACAUCGGGAUAUUCAAC